CCUACGGGGGGCAGCAGUGAGGAAUAUUGGUCAAUGGACGAGAGUCUGAACCAGCCAAGUAGCGUGAAGGAUGACUGCCCUAUGGGUUGUAAACUUCUUUUAUAUGGGAAUAAAAUGUUCCACGUGUGGGAUUUUGUAUGUACCAUAUGAAUAAGGAUCGGCUAACUCCGUGCCAGCAGCCGCGGUAAUACGGAGGAUCCGAGCGUUAUCCGGAUUUAUUGGGUUUAAAGGGAGCGUAGGUGGAUUGUUAAGUCAGUUGUGAAAGUUUGCGGCUCAACCGUAAAAUUGCAGUUGAAACUGGCAGUCUUGAGUACAGUUGAGGUGAGCGGAAUUCGUGGUGUAGCGGUGAAAUGCUUAGAUAUCACGAAGAACUCCGAUUGCGAAGGCAGUUCACUAGACUGCCACUGACACUGAGGCUCGAAAGUGUGGGUAUCAAACAGGAUUAGAUACCCUAGUAGUC
rnacentral:rRNA from 1 species